rnacentral:rRNA from 1 species
GCAUAUCAAUAAGCGGAGGAAAAGAAACUAACAAGGAUUCCCCUAGUAACUGCGAGUGAAGAGGGAAAGCUCAAAUUUAAAAUCUGGCAGCUUUGGCUGUCCGAGUUGUAAUCUGGAGAAGUGUUUUCAGUGCAGGACCGUGUACAAGUCUCUUGGAAUGGAGCAUCAUAGAGGGUGAGAAUCCCGUCUUUGACACGGACUACCUGUGCUUUGUGAUACACUCUCAAAGAGUCGAGUUGUUUGGGAAUGCAGCUCAAAAUGGGUGGUAAAUUCCAUCUAAAGCUAAAUAUUGGCGAGAGACCGAUAGCGAACAAGUACCGUGAGGGAAAGAUGAAAAGCACUUUGGAAAGAGAGUUAAACAGUACGUGAAAUUGUUGAAAGGGAAACGCUUGGAGUCAGUCGCGUUUGUUAGAACUCAGCUUGGCUUCUGCUUAGUGUACUUUCUAAUGAACGGGCCAACAUCGAUUUCAGUCAGUGGAUAAGGGUAAGAGGAAUGUGGCACCUUCGGGUGUGUUAUAGCCUCUUAUCGUAUACAUUUACUGGGAUCGAGGUCUGCAGCACUUGUGCUUAGGAUGUUGGCAUAAUGGCUUUAAUCGACCCGUCUUGAAACACGGACCAAGGAGUCUAACAUGCCCGCGAGUGUUAGGGUGGUAAACCCUUGCGCGUAAUGAAAGUGAAAGUUGGGACCUCUGUCAUGGGGGGCACCGACGCCCGGUCCAGAACUUCUGUGACGGUACUGCGGUAGAGCGUGUAUGUUGGGACCCGAAAGAUGGUGAACUAUGCCUGAAUAGGGUGAAGCCAGAGGAAACUCUGGUGGAGGCUCGUAGCGAUUCUGACGUGCAAAUCGAUCGUCAAAUUUGGGUAUAGGGGCGAAAGACUAAUCGAACCAUCUAGUAGCUG